CAGUGCUUCAUCUGAGCCUCCUCUGCAUCCCCUUGUUCAGGGUCAUCUACGUUUGUGGCGCAGAGAAGAAGCCUGACCCACGGGAAAUCCUGCAAGUAUUCUUCACAUCUCCCCUCGUUAUGAAAAAAAAACAUAAGAAGUUGUGAACAUGAAUGAAUGGCUCCCUCAUUCACCCAAUAAAACAAGAGCACUGACUUGUAAUUGUCUUUCAAAGAUAAAGAAAACUAAAAAUGGACUUUUCCUGCAAUGUCCAUGCUGUCUCCAAAUCACUAGACAUCAGCCAGUCUAAAGGUAUGUUGUUAUUUUCCAGCUCUCCUUUAUGCAAUGCAGAAUCCUAAUUAUUUAGCUGGUAUUGAAUUGGAGACAUGCCUCCUUGAUCCUUAGCUCAGCUUCUUUUCCUAGGAAAUUUAGAAAGCCUUUAUCAAGCCUACAGUAUUCUAAGGAUCUGUUUUAACAGUUAUCAGAUAAUUUAUUUAUACUCCAAAGAUCAGCUUGAAGUCUGGUAUCGGUGAAGAGGACUCUUUGUUUGUGUUCAGUUUUGAAAUAUUAAGGGUCAAUACCUGUCAAAGAGAAUCCAUGUGAGAAGCAGAAUGUUUUUGCAUCUGGGGCAAGGUGAAAGAGUGCUGUCCAAUAGAACUGUAAUGUGAGCCACACAUGCAAUUUUAAGUUUCCUGGUAGCCACAUUAAAAAGAGUAUAAAUAAAUGGGUGAAAUGGAUAUUAACAACAUUUUACUGAAGCUGAUCUUUUCAAAAUGUUAUCAUUUAAAAGUAUAAUGAAUACUAAAAGUUAUUAUUUUAUUUUAUUUUUCUAAUAAGCCUUCAAUAUUCCAUAUAUAUUUUAUACUUAGAGCACAUCUUAUUGAGGACUAGGCAUAUUUCAAGUGUUUAAGCCUGGCACAAAGGGCUUCCUUAAAGAUAUUAGAUGUUAAAAACCCCCAAAACAGGGGCGCCUGGGUGGCGCAGUCGGUUAAGCGUCCGACUUCAGCCAGGUCACAAUCUCGCGGUCUGCGAGUUCGAGCCCCGCGUCGGGCUCUGGGCUGAUGGCUCAGAGCCUGGAGCCUGUUUCAGAUUCUGUGUCUCCCUCUCUCUCUGCCCCUCCCCCGUUCAUGCUCUGUCUCUCUCUGUCCCAAAAAUAAAUAAACGUUGAAAAAAAAAAUUUAAAAAAAAUAAAAAAAAAACAAAACCCCAGAACAGAAUUAGAAUGGUAGAACGCAUUUCUAAGUGUUUGCAUUACAUUUCCAAGUUAAUCAUAGUGCACAGGGCUUUAAAUAGCUCUAGAGGUAAUCAUUAGUUGUGUUAGGCAGGUCAACUUGAGUUAGACCAUGACCACAUGUCCUUGAGAACAUUAUUUAACCUCUCCAAACCUAAGUUUUGUCCAUAUAAAAUGAGAAUAAUAAUAUCUAAUAAGAAUAAUAUCUACUUCAAAGAGUUGUAAAAAUUGAGAUAAUCCAUGUAAAGUACUCAACACAACACUGACUCUGAUUUGAAAACAAGCAUUUGAUACAUGAUACUACUAUGUUAUUAUUAUUUGGCUGAGCACAAACCAUUUUCUCAAGUGUCUGUAAGACUUCUAAGUGGACAUAUCCAGUAGACAGUUAAGCAUAAAGGAAAAAAAAGCAAAAGUGGGAUAAUCCCCAUAGAAGAUGCAUUCUAGGCCUUUUAUUCUACUCAAGUAUCCAGUGUAAGAUACCAUAUUGCACUUAGGACAAUUAAUAUUUGAUGGAUAAACUUUUUUAAAAUUUUAAUUCCAGUACAGUUAAUAUAUAGUGUUAUAUUAGUUUCAGUUGUACAACAUAGUGAUUCAACAAUUACAUUACACAGUGCUCAUCAUGAUAAAUACACUCUUUAAUCCCCUUCUCCUAUUUCACCCAUUCUCACACCCACCUCCCUUCUGGUAACCACCAGUUUGUUCUCUAUAGUUAAGAAUCUGUUUAUCUUUUUUGUUUCUUUCUUCAUUUGUUUUCUUAAGUUCCACAUGUGAGUGAAGUCAUAUGGUGCUUGACUUUCUCUGACUGACUUGUUUCACUUAGGAUGAUAGCCUCUACGUUCAUCCAUGUUGUUGCAAUAUAUACAUAUAUAAAUGGUAUAGAUACUACUUCUUUAUCCAUUCAUCUGUUGAUGAACACUGAGCUACUUUCAUAAUUUGGCUAUUGUAAAUAAUGCUGCAAUAAACAUAGGGGAGAAUAUAUCUUUUAGAGUUAGUGUUUUUGUAUUCUUUAGGCAAAUAUACCCAGUGGUGGAAUUACUGGAUUAUAUGGGAAUUCUAUUUUUAAGUUUUUGGACACUUCCAUACUGUUUUCCACAGUGGUUGCAGCAGUUUGCAUUCCCACCAACAGUGUACAAGGGUUCCUUUUUCUUUGCAUCCUCACCAACACUUGUUUCUUUUGUUUUUGAUUUUAGCCAUUGUGACAGGUGUGAGGCGAUAUCUCAUUGUGGUUUUGAUUUGCAUUUCCUUGAUGAUGAAUGAUGUUGAGCAUUUUUCCAUGUGUCUAUGGGCCAUCUGUAUGUCUUCUUUGGGAAGAUGUCUGUUCAUAUCUUCUGCUAAUUUUUAAUUGGAUUAUUUGUUUCCUUGGUGUUGAAUUUGGUAAGUUCUUUAUAUAUUUUGGAUACUAAUCUUUUAUCAGAUAUGUCAUUUGCAAACAUGUUCUCCCAUUCAGUUGGCUGUCUUUUAGUUUUGUCAGUGGUGUUUUUUUGCUGUGCAGAAGCUUUUUAUUUUGAUGUAGUCCCAAUAGUUUAAUUUUGCUUUUGUUUCCCUUGCCUCAGGAGACAUAUCUGGAAAAAUGUUGCCAGGACCAAUGUCAGAGAAAUUACUGCCUGUGUUCUCUUCUAGAAUUUUCAUGGUUUCAAGUUUCACAUUUAGGUCUUUAAUCCGUUUUGAGUUUAUUUUUGUGUGUGCUGUAAGAAAGUGGCCCAGUUUUCCCAACACCAUUUAUUGAAGAGACUGUCUUUUUCCCCACUGCCUGUUCUUUCCAGCUUUGUCAAAGAUUAAUUUACCAUAUAAUCAUGGUUUAUUUCUGGGCUCUCUAUUCUGUUCUAUUGAUCUAUGUUUCCGUUUUUGUGUCAGUACCAUACUGUUUUGGUUACUACUGCUCUGUAAUAUAACUUCAAAUCUGGGAUUUUGAUACCUCCAGUUUUGUUUUUCCUUCCUCUUGUACUUUUUGGAAGAGUUUGAGAAAAGUAGGUAUUAAUUCUUCUUUAAAUGAUUGGUAGAAUUCACUUGUAGCCCUCUGGUCCUAGACUUUUUGUUAGGGAAUUUUUGAUUUCUGAUUCAAUUUCAUUGCUACUAAUCAGUCUAUUCAAUUUUUCUAUUUCUUCCUGAUUCCAUUUUGAUAGUUUAUAUGUUUCUAGGAAUUUAUCCAUUUCUGUUAGGUUGCCCAACUUGUUGGCAUAUAAUGUUUUAUGAUAUUCUUUUAUAAUCCUUUGUAUUUUUAUGGUGUUAAUUGUUAUUUCUCAUCUUUCAUUUCUGAUUUUGUUUAUUUGAGUCCUGUCUUUUUUGUAACAUUUAUUUAUUUUUGAAAGAGAGAGCACAAGCAAGGGAGAUGCAGAGAAGGGGACAGAGGAUCUAAAGUGGGUUCCACAUUGACAGCCGUGAGCCUGAAGCAAGGCUUGAACUCUUGAAACAUGAGGUCGUGACCUAAGCUGAAGUCAGACCCUCAGCUGACUGGGCCACCCAGGCACCCCAUCUCUGUCUCUCUCUCUUCUUUUUUUUUAAUGAGUCUUUCUAAAGUUUUAUCAAUUUUGUUGAUCUUAUGAAGGAACCAGCUCCUGGUUUCAUUGAUCUGUUCUAUUGUUUUUUUAGGUUUUAUUUCAUUUAAUUCUGCUCUAAUCUUUAUUAUUUCCCUCCUUCUGCUGGUUUUGGAUUUUUUCCCCUUACUUUUCCAGUUCCUUUAGGUAUAAGGUCAGGUUGUUUAUUUGAGAUUUUUCUUGCUUCUUGAAGUAGGCCUGUGUUGUAUAAACUUCCUCUCAGAAUAGCUUUUGCCGAUCCCAAAGAUUUGGGACUGUUGUGUUUUCAUUUUCAUUUCUUUCUGUGUAUUUUUUGAUGUUCCCUUUAGUCUCUUGGCUGAUUUAAUGAUUGUUUAGUAGCAUGUUAUUUAACUGCCAUAUAUUUGUACUCUUUCAGAUUUUUUUUUCUUGUGGUUGAUUUCUAGUUUUAUAUUGUUGUGGUCAGAAAAGAUGCACAGUAUGACUUCAAUCUUUCUGAAUUUGUUGAGACUUGUGUUGUAGCCUAAUAUGUAACGUAAUCUGGAGAAUCUUCCAUGUGCACUUGAAAAAAGUGUGUAUUCUGCUGUUGUAGGAUGGAAUGUUCUGAAUAUAUCUGUUAGAUCCAUCUGUUCCAAGGUGUCAUUCAAAGCUACUGUUUCCUUGUUGAUUUUCUGUUUGGAUGAUCUGUCCAUUGUAUAAGUGGGGUGUUAAAGUCCCCUACUGUUAUUGUAUUACUACUUAUUACUUCCUUUAUCUUUUUUUAAUAGUUGCUUUAUGUAUUUGGGUGCUUCUAUGUUGGGUGCAUGAAUAUUUAUAAUUGGUAUAUCUUCUUAUUGGAUUGUUCCCUUUGUGAUUAUAUAGUGUUGUCUCUUGUUACAGUCUUUGUUUUAAAGUCUAUUUUGUCUGAUACAGGUAUUGCUAUCCCAUCUUUCUUUUCACUGCCAUUUGCAUGAUGAAUGCUUUUCCAUCCCUCCACUUUCAAUGUGCAUAUGUCUUUAGGUCUGAAAUUAGUCUCUUGCAGGCAGCUUAUUGAUGGGUCUUGCUUUUUUAUCCAUUCUGUCACCCUGUGUCUUUUGAUUGGAGUAUUUUUUCCAUUUAAAUUCCAAGUAAUUAUUGAUAGGUAUGUACUUUUUACCAUUUGGUUCAUUGUUUUAUGGUUAUUUUUUGUAGUUCUUCUCUGUUCCUUUCUUCUAUUUUAUUCUUCUUUCUUUUUUCAAUUUAUUUAUUUAUUUUUUUAAUUUAUUUUUGACAGAGAGAGAGAGAGCAAGUGGGGGAGAAGCAGAGAGAGAGAGGGAAACACAGAGCCUGAAGCAGGCUUCAGGCUCUGAGCUGUCAGCACAGAGCCCAACAUGGGCUCACAAACUGUGAGAUCAUGACCUGAGCUGAAGUGGAUGCUUAACCAAUUGAGCCACCCAAGCGCCCCUGCUGGCUUUCUUUAGUGAUAUGCUUGGAUACCUUUCUCUUUAUUUUUUGCAUAUCUAUUACUGGUUUUUGAUUUGUGGUUAUCAUUAGGUUUGUAUAUUAAGUUGACCGUUGUUUAAAUUUGAACUGAUUCUAAAAGCACCUGAUUUUUUACUCCUCUCCCCUCUCCCCCCAUGUUUUAGGUAUAUAGUGUCAUAUUUACAUCCUUUUAGUUUAUGGGUCAUUUGACUGAUUUUCAUAGAUAUACUUGAUUUUAGUGCUUUUAUGGUUCCUUCCUUUUUCACUCCUACUUAUGGCCUUUCCUUUCCACUCAGAGUCCCCUUUGACGUUUCUUGUGGGGCUGGGUUAGUGGUGAUGAAUUCCUUUAACUUUUGUUUGACUGGGAAACUUUAUCUCCCUCUCUAUUCUGAAUAAUAGUCUUGCUGGAUAGAGUUUUCUUGGUCACAGGUUUUUAUUUCUCAGCACUUUGAAUAAAUCAUGCUAUAGCAUUUUGAAUAUAUCAUGCUACUCUCUUCUGCAAAGUUUUUGCUAAAAAGCCACCUGGUAGCUUUAUGGGGGUUUUCCUUAUAUGUAGUUGUUUCUUUUAUCUUGCUACUUUUAAAAUUCUCUCUUUAUCACUACUUAUUUUUUGCCAUUUUAAGUACUAUGUGCCUUGCUGUGGACUUCCUUGAGUUGAUUUUGUUUACCUUCCCCAGAUUCGGGAAGUUUUCAGCUAUUAUUUCUUCAUGUAAAUUUUCUGCCCCCUUUCCUUUCUCUUAUAGGGGUCCCUAUAAUGCAGAUGUUAUUGUGCUUGAUGGUGUUGUUGAGUUCCCUUAGUCAAUUUUCAUUUUUUAUUAUGUUUUUCUCUUUCUCCUGUUUAGCUUGACUGCUUUCCAUUACUCUGUCCUCCAGGUCACCAAUCCAUUCUGCUUCCUCUAGUUUACUAUUCAUUCCCUCUAGUGUGUUUUUAAUUUCAAUUAUUGAGUUCUUAUCCCUGAUUGUUUUUUUUUUUUAUGUUUUCAGUCUUUUUGUUGAAGGUCUCACUGAGGUCCUCCACUUUUUUCUCAACUCCAGUGAGUAUCUUUAUGACUAUUACUUUAAAUCUCUAACAGGCAUAUCACUUAUCUCCAUUUCAUUUAGUUUUUUUUGCUGUGAUUUUUGUCCUUUUCUUUCAUUUGGGACAAUCCUCUAUCUCCUCGUUUUGUCAAACUCUGUUUUCUAUAUUUUAGGAAAGUCAGCUACAUCUCCUGGUAAGUAGUGGCCUUAUGAAGAGGUCCUGUAGUGCCCUACAGUGCAAUAUCCUCUGUUCACCAGAACCUGGCAUUUCAGGACGUCUCCUAUGUGUGUUGUGUGCACACUACUGUUGUGGCUGAAUCACAUUUGCCUUCAGUCCAGUCAUCUGCACUUGCUUUCUUUGUUGUGGGCAGUGUUUGAUCCCUGUGUUGUUGAUGGGCCAAUCUGGGACCACCUUGUGCUUGAGUUGGGUCAGACCAGGUGUUUGCUAGAAAUGCAGUAACAGCAGGCUGUAGGGCCCUUUCCCUGUAUUUUCCCAUGAGAAGCUUUUGUUGGUGGGUGAGGCCUGGGGUAAGACCAGGUGUCUGCCCCCAGCUCACUGCUGGGGCUGCAGUCAGACUAUUACAUGUGGUUAUCUUCUCCUCUCCCCAGCACAGGAAUCACUUCAGAGUGGUAUUGGCCCCUGUUGGGGCUGCUUUGCACACUGCCUCAUUUGUGGUCCCACACUGGAUGGACCCCUGCCAAGGGUGUGUUGGGGUGAUAGGUCCACAGGAGAACUCAGAGGCAAUGCACAUGGUGAUAGGCACAGGUUUGUGCUGGUCCGAUGUGGGAAGGGACCUGUAACCACUUUGGAGAACUCUUAUCCAGGCCAAGUUGGAGGGGUGGGUAUGCAGGAGAAUGUGGGAGUGGGGAUUGCGUGGGGCACAGUGUUAGCAAAUUAGGUAGAGAAUGUUUGCGCUGCGCUGGUUCCUGCAGGUGUCUGUGCAUCUGGGCUACUCUCACCAGCUCUUUUGUUCUUGCAGAAGUCUCCCAAAGAUCCCUAUCCCUCCAGCAUACUUUCUGAGAUUAGUAAACAAAUCUCCCUCCCUUAAACCCCAGACAUUUUUCAAACUGCUCUUUCUAUGGUGUCUCUUGGCAGGGAUAUUUGUUGUGCUGUCUAUUUAAGGGUAGGGACUCAGUUUCCUAUUGCCCUCUGGCUGAGUCUCCUGAACUUUAAAUACUAAAAUUCCAGGUGUUAAGCUGCACUGAUUGUAAAAGUUCAGGAAGUCAAACCCUGUGGUUUUCAAAGCCAAAUUCUAUGAAGAUUUGUCUUCCCAAUGUGGGUCCCCCAUGCCUGGGGUGCCUGGGGUGGGGUUUGCUCCUCUCUCCUUUGUGCUCAUGGUGUCCCUCCCUCCCACAAUAUUUUUGCUGGUCAGUUUGGCUCCUGACCAUGUCUCUGCCCUUCCCACCCUCUUCAAUGUGGCCUCUUCUCUACAUUUAGCUGUGGAAAGUCUCCCCACUCUUUGGGUUGUUUUCUGGGUUAUUUACACUGAUGUGGGUGUUAUCUGGGUGUAUCUAUGUGCCAAGGAGAGCUUAGGGUACUCCUCCUCCACCAUCUUCUCCAGAGUUGACCUUGAUGGACAAACCUUAAUUCUUCUGGGGACACACAUUUAGGACAGUUAAUAUUUGAUGGACAACCUGAGAGAUGAUGUAUAGGUUUAUUAUGUGUUUGAAUAUGUUUGAGAUAUAAAUGUAUAGAAGUUAAAAGAGGAAUUAAGUUCUUUUCAUCUAAAGCAUAUACUUACAAACAUGCUGAUCUGAAUCAAGUGAAAGUAGAUUUUGGCAACCAAGCCUGGGACUGUCUCCUUGUUUGAAUUAUGCUCAAGUUAGGAUCGGGCAGGUAUUGCUGCCUGGAGCUUUGAAAAAUUUUCUUUACAAGGAGACGCAAUGACAGAAUAAUAUCCUAGAUCCCUUUUCUCAGGAUUAAACUCGCUGGAAUGGCAUCUGGAACUAAGUUUGUAAUAGAUAAUCAAUUUCCAGUAUAAUGAAAAACAUAGGAGACAACAGUAAAUUUUGCAUUUCAAGUUAAAGUGUUGGUUGUUCUCUACUGGAGUGCCCUCCCUCCUAACUUUGUGCCUUGCUGAGGGUCUCAACUUGAAUAUCACCUUCUCAGAGGGGCUCAUCCUGGCUGUCCUGUCUUCCUUACGGGACCCCACUCUUGUCCUUCAGGGCUGCGGCACAUGAUGCUACCUACCGCCUGCCUUUUUAACCAACCCCCAGUAGUUGUUCAAGGCAGUGAUGUGUCUGGCUAAAACACAACAAUUAUCAACCUUCCCUGGGACAGAGACAGCAGUCUGACAGUGUCGUGGCCCAGGAGCAUAGGCAGAAGCUGCUGAGGAUGGCUGGGAAAUGGCUGCUUUCUCCCCAUCAUUGCUGACUCCAGGUUGCUUCCUUCUUUAUGGAAUGCAGAUGCCAGGCUUGGAAGGGCAACAGCCCCCUAGGACCACAAGAACAAAAGAUACAGGCAAGGACUGCUGGAGCAGGAAGAGGGGAAAAGGAAAGAGCCUGUGUCCCAUGACAUCUCUCUGCUUUAACCCAAGGUUCCCUACCUAACGUUAGCAACAACAACAACAACAAAAAUUGUACAUAUAUGUUUAUGCAUUUCUGUCAUCAGUGCCUGUCUUCUUCACUAGACUGUGAACUUUAUGAAGAAACAGACCAUCCAGGUUUUUUUGUUCAUGACUGUGUACCCAGAACCUUGCACAAUGUCUGGUGCAUAGAUUUUCAAAGGAGAUUCUGGAAAAGGAUGAAUGAUAUGCAGCAUUGUGGAGUGAGACAUUUAUUAAAACAAAACCAUUUUAGCUGAAAGGUAAGAGAGAAAGUAAAAUGCAGCAACACAGAGGCCUCAGUUACCGUGAGAAUAAAGCUAAGAGUGAGGCAGAGACACUGAGACAGAUGCUGAGAAGGAAGCAGAAGCCUGAGUUCUCUCCAUCUUCUCUCUCUGUAAACUGUCUUAUCACUCAGAUUCUGCCCAGUGAUGUUCUUUUAGUAUAAGGGCCAUAAAAGUGACCCAUUUUCAAAAUGUCCUUGUGGGGCGUAUGGCACACACAAAAUACAUGCAAAGUCAAAAGAGUGACAUGAUAAUGGUGGACACCUGUCUUUUCUUCCUGCACACCCCCUACGUGCACACACACACACACACACACACACACACACACACACACACAGAUUCACACACAGAUCUUGGCAAAAACAGUGAAAAGAAAGUCUUCUGCAUAACCCCUCUUUAGACAGUCAUCUCUGACUCUCAAGAGUUUGAUCCUAUGUGCUCCUGCUAAGGCUCCUUUCUUUCAGACAGGUCUUCCAUUUCACUUUCUUUUUAAAGUUUAUUUAUUUAUUUUGAGAGAGACAGACAGAGAGAGAGAGAGAGAGAGAGAGAGAGAACAAGUGGGGGAGAGGCAGAGAAAGAGAAGGAGAGAAAGGGAAUCCCAAGCAGGCUACACACAGUCAGCACAGAGCCCAAUGCAAGGCUUGAAUUCACCCACCACAAGAUCAUGACCUGAGUCAAAGUCAGACACUUAACUGACUGAGCCACCCAGGCACCCCUCUAUCAGACAGGUCUUAAGAAAACCCAGCCUCUGGCUUGCACCACUGAUGUUACCAGUAGUGUGUUGAAACUCAAAGGUCCUGGAAUUGUAACAGGUUUUGUCAUAGGUCUUGGAAUGAUUACAAAGCUGUAAAAACCCUGUGAAGUACUGCGCCAGCCUAACUUGUGUCCUGUCUCUACUUCCUGUCCUUCUCACUGGACCAUCUGUGCUCUCCUGAUGAGCUGCCAUCUGAGACAUUUUAAAUUUCAAGUGGAGGCAGUAAUCACUUCUCCCAAGGAACUGGUUUGCUUGGGCAAUUGUAGAUAAUCUCUCAAAAUUAAGAAGACAGGAAUUGUCUGAUAAUGAGAGAUGAUAUUCAAAAUAUCAAACAACUACUAUGGCAUGGAUACCAACCAACUGGGAGGGACAUAGCUGGUAACAAUCAGUACUCCCAUUUAGGGCACACCAGCUGCAUUUCAACCUGCUUGGCUUGCUGCCCAAGGACACACACACAGCCCAGAACUGUAACACAACCCUGAGAAGUCAUGGAUACAUUUUAGGAUGGAAUCCUGUGAACUGUCUCCACAACCUGCCUCACUUGAAGAGAUCACAAUCUGAUACAUGAAACAGAUACUGUUAUUAUAAUUGAGUAUGUAUGGACUAUGAAUAUGCUUCCUAAGUUUCAUUUUACUGUAUUAAUUUUUCUUUUGCUGCCUAAUACAUUGCUACAAACUUAGCAACUUAAAACAAUGCAAAGUUGUUAUCUCACAGUUUCCAUGUGCCAGGACUGUAGGCAUGGCUUAGCUUUAGCUGGGUCCUCAAAACAGGGUCUUAUAAGAACUGCAGUCCAUGUGCCUGUUGGCCAUCUGGAUGUCUUCUUUAGAGAAGUGUCUAUUCAUGUUUUCUGCCCAUUUCUUCCUGGGUUAUUUGUUUUUCGGGUGUGGAGUUUGGUGAGCUCUUUAUAGAUUUUAGAUACUAGCCCUUUGUCUGAUAUGUCAUUUGCAAAUAUCUUUUCCCAUUCCGUUGGUUGCCUUUUAGUUUUGUUGGUUGUUUCCUUUGCUGUGCAGAAGCUUUUUAUCUUCAUAAGGUCCCAGUAAUUCACUUUUGCUUUUAAUUCCCUUGCCUUUGGGGAUGUGUCGAGGAAGAGAUUGCUACGGCUGAGGUCAGAGAGGUCUUUUCCUGCUUUCUCCUCUAAGGUUUUGAUGGUUUCCUGUCUCACAUUUAGGUCCUUUAUCCAUUUUGAGUUUAUUUUUGUAAAUGGUGUGAGAAAGUGGUCUAGUUUCAACCUUCUGCAUGUUGCUGUCCAGUUCUCCCAGCACCAUUUGUUAAAGAGGCUGUCUUUUUUCCAUUGGAUGUUCUUUCCUGCUUUGUCAAAGAUGAGUUGGCCAUACGUUUGUGGGUCUAGUUCUGGGGUUUCUAUUCUAUUCCAUUGGUCUGUGUGUCUGUUUUUGUGCCAAUACCAUGCUGUCUUGAUGAUGACAGCUUUGUAGUAGAGGCUAAAGUCUGGGAUUGUGAUGCCUCCUGCUUUGGUCUUCUUCUUCAAAAUUCCUUUGGCUAUUCGGGGCCUUUUGUGGUUCCAUAUGAAUUUUAGGAUUGCUUGUUCUANAAAAAAAAAAAAAAGAGGUUAGAGUGGGAGAGAGCCAAAGCAUAAGAGACUGUUAAAAACUGAGAACAAACUGAGGGUUGAUGGGGGGUGGGAGGGAGGGGAGGGUGGGUGAUGGGUAUUGAGGAGGGCACCUUUUGGGAUGAGCACUGGGUGUUGUAUGGAAACCAAUUUGUCAAUAAAUUUCAUACAUAUAUAAAAAAAAAAAAAAAGAACUGCAGUCCAGGUACAAGCUGAGUUUGGGGUCUCAUCUGUGGCUUGGGGUCAUCUCCCAAGCUCUCAGGGUUGUUGACAGAUUCAUUUCCUUGCAGCUGUAGAACUCAUGAUAGCUUGCUUCUUUAAGGCUAGCAGGAAAGCUUGUCUGAUCUUAGGGAAGGCCUAAAUCUCCUUUAAAAAUUAGGUCAGGGGUGCGUAGGUGGCUCAGUCAGUAAAGAGUCCAACUUCGUCUCGGGUCAUGAUCUCAUGGUUCCUGGGUUUGAGUCCCACAUUGACUCUGUGCUGACAGCUCAGAGCCUGGAACCUGCUUCAGAUUCUGUAUCUCCCUCUCUCUCUGCCCCUGCCCUGCUCACGCUCUGUCUCUCUCUCUCUCAAAAAUAAAUAAACAUUAAAAACUUAGGUCAGAUCCACCCCCAAACAAUCUCCUUUUGAUGAACUCAUAGCAAUUCUGAUUAGGGAUUUGAAUUAUAUCUGCAGAACCUCUUCAUCUUUGCCAUAGAAUGUCACCUAAUCACAAGAGUGACAUCCAUUGUAUUCACAGAUGUGCCCACAAUCAAGGGAAAGGGGUUAUACAGGGUAUGAACAGUAGUGGUGAGGAAAUGUAGAGGCCAAUUUAGAAUUCUUUGUAUUAUACUUACAUCAGUACUUUUGUUAUGCUCUGGCAAUCACAAAGUACUCUUUUCUAUGAAUGCAGAUACUUGUUGCAAAUUUAGGACUGAAUCAUGUGCUUCCAAAAUUGACAGAACAAAGUACAGGGUGGGCAAGACACCAGAUGAAAUAAGUUUUAUUCUUGUGUUGUUUUCAAUUACAUUUUUGCCUUUCAUAAAUAAUUUACAUUACUUUCUUAUAUGUUAAGCAGACACCAGUGGGAUUUUUAUAGAAAAUGCAAAAUGAGGAUAAAAAUCAAUAGGUCUAAUCCAUUCACAGCUCCAAGAUGUGGCCACACUGCUUGUAUAUGGAGAAAAUGCACCUGACGGAGUGUUCUGCAUAUUCACAUGUGUAUUACUGUGCUAGGGCUGCCAUAACAGAAUACCACAGAUAGGGUGACUUACACAACAGAAGUUCAUCUUUUCAUAAUUCUGGAGGCUGGAAUUCCAAGGUCAAGGUUCUGGCAAGGUUGGCUUCAGGUAAAGCCUCUCUUCCACCUCUCUCCCUCUCUUCCUCUCUUCCUGGCUAGUAGACAGACCCCUCCUUGCUGUGACUUCACAUGGCCUUUCUUCCAUGUGUGUAUGGAGAGAGAGAGAGGGAGAGGAAGAGGGAGAGGGAGAGAGAGAGAGAGAGACAGAGAGAGAGAGAGAGAGAGAGACUGUGUGUGUGUGUGUGUGUGUGUGUGUGUGUGUGUGUGUUCUGGGGUCUCUUCCUCUUCUUAAAAGAACACCUGUCCUAUUAGAUUUGGACUUACCCUUAGGACCUCCUUUAGCCUUCAUUACCUCCUUAAAGGUCCUGUCACCAAAUAUGGCCACAUUGGGGGUUGGGGCUUCAACAUAUGAAUUUAGGGGGACACCAUUCAGUCCAUAACAAUACUCAAAAUAUCUGUGGACAGUGAACAACCUGGGAGAUUUCCUGUUUAUGACUACUACAGAAGGUGUUUUUAAAUCACUAAUCACCAUUCAAAUAUGCACAUAUUCCAAGAAAUCUCUCCAUCCAUUUUCUGUCUUUGAGUGUCUUGACUAGCAGUUUGUUUCCAAGGCAACAAAGACACAUGUGUGCCCUGAGCAAGGGCAGCAGAGCAACCUCUGUCCCGCGGUUCUGACAGAAUUACUGCCAACUGUGCCCAAACAAACCAGUUGUAUCAUUUUUCCCAAUAAUGAGACAAGGAAGGUCUCAUAGGUUUUCCUAUAAAGAAAAUACAACAGAACCAUGGUUACAUAGCCAGGGGUAUGUCUCCCUCUGAUGGACACUUCGCCCUCUCUAAUGAAAGGUGCAACUGCGUAGAGUGUCAAAACCUCUUCCACAGGGGUCAGGUAUAAUGUCAGGAUCUGUGGUAGAAACUGUUUAUAACCCAAUAUACCCUAUCUCACUCUUCUUUUGGUAACUGAGCCCCUCUUUGAGAAAUCAGUGGCAAUAUGCCCUGUGAAGAAGCUACACUUUCUUUUUUUUUUUUUUUUUUUUUAAUAUAUUUUUUUCAACGUUUAUUUAUUUUUGGGACAGAGAGAGACAGAGCAUGAACGGGCGAGGGGCAGAGAGAGAGGGAGACACAGAAUCGGAAACAGGCUCCAGGCUCUGAGCCAUCAGCCCAGAGCCUGACGCGGGGCUCGAACUCCCAGACCGCGAGAUCGUGACCUGGCUGAAGUCGGACGCUUAACCGACUGCGCCACCCAGGCGCCCCGAAGCUACACUUUCUAUCCCCACCUUGCAGCCAGAAGUGAUCAAGGCACCUAGAUUAUUGUCUGGGACUCAUGAAAAGGCUUUUAUGGAGGGAGCACAUAGCCAUCAUGUCCUUGUCUGCACUCACCCCUCUUUCCUUUUCUUUUCUGCCGGCACUGUGCAUUUGAUGUCUGUAAUAUAGUAGCCAUUCGGAUGACUGGAACUUCAGGAACCAUCUUGGAUAAGAAUUAGCUUCAAGGAGGGAAGCCACAUAUCAAGGAAGAUGGACCAAAAUGUGGAACAAGUCUAGGCUCCAAAUGACACCAUGGAGCUUCCACACCAACCUUGGACUCUUGGACUCUCUCAUGUGAAGGAGAAAUAAAUCUCUAUGACAAGCUGUGGAAAGCAAAUUCCUGACACAAAAUGUAGCAUGAACAUUUCAAAACGUCAAAAUUACAUUAGAAAAUUGUUUGAAUCUUCCAUAAAAUAAAGAAAAAUAGUGUGGUACAAGUCCUGAAUGGGUUAUAGGCAAGAGGAAAUAUUUAGCCUUUAAUUCUUGGGGCCAAACAACAAAAAAAAUCCAGACCGAAUUAGACCGUAUCCUUGCAUUACUUUAAACUAGUAUUUGCCCUUUAGAAACUAUCUACAUUGAUUUCAG
rnacentral:lncRNA from 1 species